rnacentral:rRNA from 1 species
UACGUAGGGCGCGAGCGUUAAUCGGAAUUACUGGGCGUAAAGCGUGCGCAGGCGGUUUUAUAAGCCAGAUGUGAAAGCCCCGGGCUCAACCUGGGAAUGGCAUUUGGGACUGUAAGGCUGGAGUAUGGCAGAGGAGACUAGAAUUCCUGGUGUAGCAGUGAAAUGCGUAGAUAUCAGGAGGAAUACCGAUGGCGAAGGCAGGUCUCUGGGCCAAUACUGACGCUCAUGCACGAAAGCGUGGGGAGCAAACAGG